GAUGAACGCUGGCGGCGUGCCUCAAACAUGCAAGUCGAGCGGGGCUAUGUAAUAUCGCAAGGUAGAACAUAGCCUAGCGGCGAACGGGUGAGUAACACGUGGGUAACCUGCCUGGAAGACAGGGAUAACGAUUCGAAAGGGUCGCUAAUACCUGAUAAUAUCCUUUCAUCGCAUGGUGAUAGGAAGAAAGGGGAAACCCCGCUUUUCAGAUGGGCCCGCGUCCCAUCAGCUAGUUGGUAAGGUAAAGGCUUACCAAGGCGACGACGGGUAGCCGGUCUGAGAGGAUGUACGGCCACACUGGGACUGAGAUACGGCCCAGACUCCUACGGGAGGCAGCAGUUGGGAAUCUUAGGCAAUGGACGAAAGUCUGACCUAGCGACGCCGCGUGAGGGAAGAAGGCCUUCGGGUUGUAAACCUCUGUCAUGGGGAAGAAGUAAGUGACGGUACCCCAAGAGGAAGCCCCUGCUAACUACGUGCCAGCAGCCGCGGUAAAAGUACUCUAAU
rnacentral:rRNA from 1 species